ACAAGGGUAGAGGUGGGUUUUUUUUUUUUUUUCUGGUUUUGGUUUUGGUUUUCACUGAGCAUUUGUGAAGAAACACUGAAGAGACUUUCAAGUCCCGGGGAGCUUUCGUCCUUUUCAAAUCUGGUUUCCUGAUUAAUCACUGAGAUGCUAGGCCCUCGGUCUUCUCUAAACGCGUUCUUUCUCAAAAAACCAGGCAGGUUUCAAGGGCAAGCAAAGCCUCCUUCUCACGACCUGGAGAAACACUGACUUUAACUAAAAGCAGGAUACUGGAGCUUCCGAAGGGCUUGGGGGCCCCAAAGUUCACCCAAAUAAACAGAACGAGGAAGCCAUACACAUGCAUAACCCGGGUUUAUUUGUACCUGUCUUUGUUACACAGCUGUAGGGCAUAUGAGAGUCACGAUCAGAGAAACCUAUCUACGGUAACCUACUGUAGUAUAAACUAUCCAUAUUUCAUUCUCCAUGAGCACCACAGGCAAAUUCCUGUUGUAUUUGACCAGCUGGGGUCAAAAACGCUACCCAGGGCUCAGAGCUUUCCACCCCCGCUCCAGCGUCCGUUUCACCGCCAGCGUUCUGGUUUGUGCAUUUCAAAGAUGCUUUUACAGCAUUUAUGAACCCUCAACUUAUUUAUGACUAUCAGCUCAGGCUAUACAAUCCACUUUGGGGCAGAUUUGCAAGAGAAACAAAAUAGCCAUUUGAAACCAUGAUGUUUGGGUGUUAUGUCUGACUGGAGGAAGCAGGUGGGGUAUAGAACUCCUGGAAAAAAAAAUCUCCUGGAGGGGCAGUCAUAGGGGUCCGUUUCUGUGCUGUGGGGGAAAAAAGUCAUAUUUUCACGCCUGCUUUUCUCCAGUUAUUCCUCACAACAAAACUCACCUGAAACACAGGAACAAAACCAAUCCCAGUGAAAAGAAAGUUAUACCUCUACAUCACACACAAAGCAGGACUGCUUUUCACUAAGUAUUGCGUUGCACUGUUUGGCGGAGACGAUGCAGUUGAGCAGUAUGAAGAGAGACCAAACGCAUUUCAAGUGUUGCAUUUGAGACAACACGUGCUCUGUUAGGCAAAACUUUUCUGGUUUUGAUUAUUAAUUCUUUUUUAUUUUUGAUAUUUCAUUUUUUUUCUGGAAAAUUUGAAGUUCAAGGAUGAACAGUCAGUUUUACCCGACUGAAUGCACACACAACGAUAAAAGGCUGGGUUUCUUGGAAAUCUUUUUAUCCUGUUUUUAUAAGUAAGUUCGUUGCAGCAUUAUUUAUAAUGGUGAAAAAAUGGAAACAAUAUCCAUGAUUAUUAACAGAGGACUGAUUAAGUAAGCAUUGACAGGGUAAAAUUAUGUCAUUAUGCUAAGUGGAAAAAAAUCAAAAUUUCGUAUAUACUAUGCAGUCUCAACUAGGAAUAGGACAUAGACAGAGGGGGAAAAACCUGAAAAAAGAAAAAUACCAACAUUCAGAAUAACUCUUCCUGGGUAGUAGGAUUAUGACCUAUUUUAAUUUUCAUCUUCUUGUUUUUAUGUAUUUUCCAAAUGUUUGACAUUGAACAUAGACUUCUUGAACAAUCACAAAAAUGUGAGGAAAAGCAUCAUCAAAGCAUUUUCUCCUGAGAAAGGCAUUUGUUAUCUUAAUGACAAGAGUUCCUGCAUGUUUGGGCAUGAAACAAUUACUUCCCACAAAGAGGAUGCCCACCCAGCUGGAAGGAAGCUGAAAGAGCAGAAGAAUUUUUGCCUUGAGGGGCGCCAAGAGAGGCUUCGAGUUCUUCUUCCCCAGUGGUUUGAUGAAAUCAAGCAUUUGCACCUUUGAAAAUUGGUUUAACCAACGUGGCCUGAAUAAAUGUCAUCCCCUUUCCUCCUGGCCGGAAGUCAACUUCAUCUCACUCCUCUUCAACUCCUUCAGAUGUUAAGUGGCACAGUCCUGCUUUAAGAACAAGGGCUCCAAAAAACUGGCAUGCAGAGUUUAUGAGCUUCUUUCCUGUGUUGCGAAAUUGGACAAUAAACGAACCUUGUUCUGAGCCUAGUUAACCUCAACUUUAAGACUACGACCAUCUAUAUGCAGGACGGUAGAAAGCCUAGCCAAGUGCUUUGGAACUUACGUUGACCGUAUGGAAUCAUGCUAUCUGUCCUUCUCAGGCUCUCUUUUGAAAGGAAAAACUGCCAGUAGGUGGACUGGUCAGUGACAGAGCAGACGCCGUCCGAGUUCAGGCUGUGCCAGUCAGAUAGGUCAUGGUCUCGGGGUGGAAGAUAAAUUGAGACAUUCUGUUCUCAGGAACCCGAACUCAAAGACUUGCAACGAAAUCCCCAAGGGAGAGUAGGAAGAGUACAAGGAGAGCAGAAUGGGGAGACAGUCAAAAUGUAUUAAGAGAGGUUUGCCAGAACAAGGCUUUUGUACAUCGUGACAUCCCAUCGUAUGGAUGGGUAAGAUCAUUCUGCCGCAUCCCCCCACAGAAAGUAACGGAAA